GUGAAUAAAAGAUACAGGAAGUCUACAGAAAGACACAGGAAGAGGAGGCCACACCUAAAUGCUGGCAAGGGAGCAGGCAACAGGGUCAGACUCCAAGCCUCAGACCCCUCCUGGAUACGAACCAUCCCCUGCCUCAUCAGAGCCUGGGAAGAUUUCCUACUCGUGAGGCUAACGAAUCGCUCAGAACACAACCAUCUCAUUAAGCAAUUAGCUCUGGGAGCGCCAAGGCAAGGAAGUGACCUCACUGGCCACUCGACAAGACACCGCCCUGCCGCUGGGGAGGAAGGUAACAGGGUAAUCAUGACCAUGGUGGGAGGGACAUUGAUGGUGAUGUCAAGUGACGGAAAAGGUGAUGGGUGUCAGAUCUCUGUGAUGGUGGAGGAGAUGCUGGGGCUGGGAACUGACUUGAUGGUGGUGCAGGGGAUGGUUGAUGGUGGUGGCAGAUCACAGCGGUGAUGGCAAGGUGACAUUGGUAGUGAUGACUGACGGGGUAGACCCUGUGGCUGGGCUCCCUCAGCCUCCAUCCCAUCCUCCUCAAUGACAGGGAAGUUGGAAAGUUAGCAACGACAUAGCCCUCCCUUGUGGCGUUUACAUGUGGAUUCACUGGGGCAGAAUCUGGAUGGCAGAAGCGAGGCGGAGUCCUUUCCAAGCUUUGGUUUUCUAAUUUCUAAUAAUAGUAGAGCACUGCUGGAGUUCCUGUUGUGGUGCAGCGGAAACGAAUCCGACUAGGAACCAUGAGGUUGCGGGUUCGAUCCCUGGCCUCACUCAGUGGGUUAAGGAUCCAGCGUCGCCAUAGCUGUGGUGUAAGUCACAGAUGCGGCUCGGUUCCCACAUUGCUGUGACUGUGGUGUAGGCUGGCAGCUACAGCUCCAAUUAGACCCCUAGCCUGGGAACCUCCAUAUGCCGCAGGUGAGGCCCUAAAAAAAAAAAAAAAAAAAAAGGCAAAAAAAAAAUAAUAGAACAUUGCUGGCCACAUAAUAAGCACUAUCUACAAUUUGGUUGUUGUUACUUUUUUUUUUUCUUGCUCUCUUUUGGCUGUUUCUGCUGGCCAGCAAGAUUGCAGUGAACAGGUGGUUUUUCUGCCACAGUGUCCUGAUAUUGGGUCCAGCUUCCAG
rnacentral:lncRNA from 1 species